AGAGUUUGAUCCUGGCUCAGGACGAACGCUGGCGGCGUGCCUAACACAUGCAAGUCGAGCGGAGACAGUGAGUAGCUUGCUAUGAGCUGUUUUAGCGGCGGACGGGUGAGUAACGCGUGAGCAACCUUUCCCAGACAGGGGAAUAACACACCGAAAGGUGUACUAAUACCGCAUAAGACCACGGAAUCACAUGGUUCUGAGGUAAAAGAUUUAUCGGUUUGGGGUGGGCUCGCGUCCGAUUAGGUAGUUGGUGAGGUAACGGCCCACCAAGCCGACGAUCGGUAGCCGACCUGAGAGGGUGAUCGGCCACAUUGGGACUGAGACACGGCCCAAACUCCUACGGGAGGCAGCAGUGGGGAAUAUUGCACAAUGGGGGAAACCCUGAUGCAGCGACGCCGCGUGAGCGAAGAAGUAUUUCGGUAUGUAAAGCUCUAUCAGCAGGGAAGAAAAUGACGGUACCUGACUAAGAAGCCCCGGCUAACUACGUGCCAGCAGCCGCGGUAAUACGUAGGGGGCAAGCGUUGUCCGGAAUAAUUGGGCGUAAAGGGCGCGUAGGCGGCUCGGUAAGUCUGGAGUGAAAGUCCUGCUUUUAAGGUGGGAAUUGCUUUGGAUACUGUCGGGCUUGAGUGCAGGAGAGGUUAGUGGAAUUCCCAGUGUAGCGGUGAAAUGCGUAGAGAUUGGGAGGAACACCAGUGGCGAAGGCGACUAACUGGACUGUAACUGACGCUGAGGCGCGAAAGUGUGGGGAGCAAACAGGAUUAGAUACCCUGGUAGUCCACACUGUAAACGAUGAAUGCUAGGUGUAGGGGGUAUCGACCCCUUCUGUGCCGCAGUCAACACAAUAAGCAUUCCGCCUGGGGAGUACGGCCGCAAGGUUGAAACUCAAAGGAAUUGACGGGGGCCCGCACAAGCAGUGGAGUAU
rnacentral:rRNA from 1 species